GUAAAUCUACUUAUACAUCUAUACAAUCGAACCCACUAACAAAUAAUAUAAAUAAAAUAAAAUAAAUCCCUAAUGAUUAAUACUCCCUCAGUCCCGCAAAAGAGGAUUGAAGUACCCAAAAAAAUAAGACUUUUAAAGUACACAAUUCAAAUGCAAAAUGUUACUCCCUCCGUCCAAGUUUACUUGUUCUAAUUUUUUUUUCGGUUUGUCCAAAUCUACUUAUCCUCUUUCCAUUUUAAUAAUAUUUUUGACCUUAUUUUUUCAAUACCACCCUCAUUUAACUUUUUAAAAAAAUUAUUGAAAACUUCAUGACAUACAUUGAAAAGAGUAACACUAUUAACUUUGACAUUGGAAGCAUAACCAUACUCCUUUUUUCUCCUCUCUCUCUCUCCUCUAUUUUAUUAUUUUAAUAAAG
rnacentral:lncRNA from 1 species